rnacentral:miRNA from 1 species
UAGAAGCAGUUAGUCAGAUAGUU